GUGUGGCCAGGCUGCAGUAACACGGUCAGGCAAGAAAAGAACAUGACAACUUACGGGCUUUCUGUAACUCUUCAUGGUCUGCAAAUCUGAGUCCCUUCAUUAGUGACGGCACGGAUUCACGGAUUCGAUACAACAACAUAAAUUAGUUGUGCUCAGAGGCAACCAGGCAUACAUCUGACAUCAGCCUGCCUUCCUGACCCAACUCCCAGCAAAAUGUGCAUUAAGAAAGUUUUUUUAAAAUCUCACAGAGAGAGUGAGAGAGAAUGAGCAGGGGAGAGAGAGAGAAAGAGAGAGAGAGAGAGAGAGAGAGAGAGGAGAGGGAGCUCUACCUUAAAAAAAAAGAUGACCUUGUAAAACACACCAGGCUGAGCGAAAUGAUCUUUCUUUUGUUUCUGGUUUGUCACUAAGGGAGAUAAAUCAAAACAAAAAGAGCCUGUCAAAACGAUCUGUAAAAGUAACAUUCAGGUCAAGGCACAAGAUGAAAGUUUACGUAAUUACUUUUGUGAAACUGAUCUGCUAAGCAAUACAGAGAUCAGACCUCAGUCGGUAGCUAAAGGUUCUGAUCGAUUCCCUUUUUUCUCCUCUGCGGUAGAAUAUGGGCUGUGAACUAGCCGUGCCUUCAAGAACCAGGGCGAGACCUGGGACCUCACCAGCCAAGUGCCACCCACCAGAGUGUUCUCUUCACGGAACGCCCUCGGAUGCGCAUAAACCCCAAUUCAGGCUACUUUUGGGGGACCUCCUUAGAACAACAACGGGGGUUUGCUCAGGAACAGGGCCAGGGGAAACGUAAGCCACCCGCAGCCUGAGCGCCUCCUGGACAAAGGGGACAUUUGAAAGGUGUCAAUAAAGUGCUUCUCCAAGCAA